GAUGAACGCCGGCGGCGUGCCUAAUACAUACAAGUCGAGCGAACGGACGAGAAGCUUGCUUCUCUGAUGUUAGCGGCGGACGGGUGAGUAACACGUGGAUAACCUACCUAUCAGACUGGGAUAACUUCGGGAAACCGGAGCUAAUACCGGAUAAUAUUUUGCACCGCAUGGUUCAAAAGUGAAAGACGGUCUUGCUGUCACUUAUAGAUGGAUCCGCGCUGCAUUAGCUGGUUGGUAAGGUAACGGCUUACCAAGGCAACGAUGCAUAGCCGACCUGAGAGGGUGAUCGGCCACACUGGAACUGAGACACGGUCCAGACUCCUGCGGGAGGCAGCAGUAGGGAAUCUUCCGCAAUGGGCGAAAGCCUGACGGAGCAACGCCGCGUGAGUGAUGAAGGUCUUCGGAUCGUAAAACUCUGUUAUUAGGGAAGAACAUAUGUGUAAGUAACUGUGCACAUCUUGACGGUACCUAAUCAGAAAGCCACGGCUAACUACGUG
rnacentral:rRNA from 1 species